rnacentral:piRNA from 1 species
UCACUUCUGAACACAAAUGAUGACAAAC